UGAGAUGGAAUCCUUGGAGACGAGCUUGCAUGGGAUUUUCUCACGAGGAACGAGUGCAACGCUUCUCAAUGGGGUAACUUCCUUGAUAGGAGCAAGGUGAGUCAAGUUGGAGGCCCCAUGUACCGAGGUGUUGGGAGAUGAUGCAGAGGAGUCGGAGGUGUAACCAGUGGUCAUCAACUCACCAAUUCGAUAGUCCUCGAGAAGCUUUUUGGCUUUAUCAGAGUGUAUGGCGUCGAACUCCUCAGUGCAGUCGGUGCCAGCAUUGAUGAGGAUGCUGUCGGUACCGCCAGGGUGGUCUUUGAGGAAGCGGGUGCAAUCGUAGACGUGGCCGUGGACGACGAUCCAUGUGGAGUCGGCUGAGUUGUGUUUUUUGACCUCGGACAUGGAGUACAUUUUGGAGGAGGUGUUCAUGAAAGGAGAUGAGACACUCUUCUUCAGAGUUGAGUUGGCAUCAGAGGAUUGGACAAGGUGCUUUUCACGAGCCAUCCAUCCUCCGGAUUGGUUUCCUGGAAGAGUUGGAUGCUCGAAUACGAUUCCAAUCUCUCC
rnacentral:lncRNA from 1 species